GUCCACGCUGUAAACGUUGGGCACUAGGUGUAGGAGGUAUUGACCCCUUCUGUGCCGCAGCUAACGCGAUAAGUGCCCCGCCUGGGGAGUACGGCCGCAAGGCUAAAACUCAAAGGAAUUGACGGGGGCCCGCACAAGCAGCGGAGCGUGUGGUUCAAUUCGAUGCAACGCGAAGAACCUUACCAGGGCUUGACAUGCUGGUGGUACCGAUCUGAAAAGUGAGGGACCCUUCGGGGAGCCAGUGCAGGUGUUGCAUGGCUGUCGU
rnacentral:rRNA from 1 species